rfam:Jatropha curcas cultivar GZQX0401 scaffold255_76, whole genome shotgun sequence.
CAGCCAUGAUGAGGGCAUUAUCUUUGCACGUCUCAGUACCUCUCCCAAUCUAAAAAAGGCUUUCAUCAGGUUUCUGCUUGAAGGUAACUAUCUCAGUCUUCAGCUU